rnacentral:rRNA from 1 species
CCUACGGGCGGCAGCAGUGGGGAAUAUUGGUCAAUGGGCGAGAGCCUGAACCAGCCAAGUCGCGUGAGGGAAGACGGUCCUAUGGAUUGUAAACCUCUUUUGUCGGGGAGCAAAAAGGCCUCGUGAGGCCACAAGUGAGAGUACCCGAAGAAAAAGCAUCGGCUAACUCCGUGCCAGCAGCCGCGGUAAUACGGAGGAUGUGAGCGUUAUCCGGAUUUUUUGGGUUUAAAGGGUGCGCAGGCGGAAGAUCAAGUCAGCGGUAAAAUUGAGAGGCUCAACCUCUUCGAGCCGUUGAAACUGGUGUUCUUGAGUGAGUGAGAGGUAUGCGGAAUGCGUGGUGUAGCGGUGAAAUGCAUAGAUAUCACGCAGAACCCCGAUUGCGAAGGCAGCAUACCGGCGCCCUACUGACGCUGAGGCACGAAAGUGCGGGUAUCGAACAGUAUUAGAUACCCUUGUAGUC